AGAGAAACAGCGAGGGAAAAAGAAAAUAGCUACUAAAUAAGGAUUAUUACAGUUGCUAUAAUUUAUUCUCUAAAUCUUUGCUAAUAACCAUGUUAAUUCAUCAAUUCAUAACAGUAAGAGCUGCAAUCUUUAUAUGGAGAUUCAUAAAAUCUUCUCACCUUAUUUGUUGUGCUCUGACAAAAUUGCACUUGAUAUCUGGAGAUUUAGUCCCCCUUAAGUUUUGUUUUAACAAUUUUAAUCCUGGAGCAUGAUCAAGAAACGAAAUUGUUCCCCUUGCAUACGUUUAGUGCAUUCUCCUAAAAAAAAAACCAAUCCUCGGUUGAACUAGACAAGUGCAUAUCUACAGUAUCUAAAUUAUCUGUUAAUUCACAGGAGGUGCAGAAGUAAAUCUUGAACAGAACUUGUGUCAUCAGACAUAAUCUAUAAUGGAACUAUAAAAGACACCUUUAGUAUAUGAUUAAGCUUGUUUCUAACAACAGAUGGUAGUAGGCACUAUAAAAGUUUGACAAAUUUUUAUUUUCAUUCUUGUGAUAAUUUCUAAAGACAAGAAUUGUGUACUUUAAGAAAUCAGUUUCUAAGAUGUUCUCAUUGCGCCCAUCUUGUGUGGUUUCAAGCUUUGCUUUACAGUUUACAAAUAUAGUUUUAUGAACUUGUGAGCAAUUUUGAAAGAAUUUCAGUUUAUUUUAUGAAGGACUAUAAUCCAAAGAUAUCGGACUUUGGCUUGGCAAAAUUGGGUCCCUCGGGUGGAGAUUCACAUGUCACAACUCGAAUCAUGGGAACAUAUGGUUAUGCUGCUCCUGAAUAUGUAGCAACAGGUGAGUACUAUAGUAGUCUCUCUGUAUUAACUGUUGGCAGAAUGCUGAAGCUCUAACCAAACGAAAAGAUGGGGAGAACGUGUGCAUUCUUUUGAUACAAUCAUUAGUUCACUAAUUCAUUAUACAAUGAUCAACAGGUCAUUUAUAUGUGAAAAGCGAUGUGUAUGGAUUUGGAGUUGUGCUUCUUGAGAUGUUGACAGGCUUACGAGUAGUUGACAUGAAACGUCCGAGCAGCCAGCAUAAUUUAAUAGACUGGGCGAAGCCCCGUCUCUUGCAUAAAAGGAAGCUGAAAACCAUGAUGGAUGCACGUAUACAAGGACAAUAUUCAACAAAAGCAGCAGUACAAGCUGCUCAGCUGACACUACAAUGCUUGGAAAUUGAACCCAGAAAUCGACCCUCCAUGAAAGAAGUUGUGGAGGUUUUGGAACAGGUAGAUUCAAUGACAGUAAGGCAAUAAGAGCACAAAAGCAGCUCUACUCAUUCUUCUACAGAUCAGAAUCGUUAUCAUCAUCGUCGGCCUGUUAUCAUCUGCCCAUAUCGACGAAGUGAUAAGAGCAGUUAAAUUCUUUUUAAUUGAGAGAACAUAUAGUUGGGUUAAAGCAUACCUCUUCUAGUUAUUUGUUGUAAUGUUACAUUAGUUAGUUUUAUCAUUCUUUGGUCCCCAGUUUGUAAUUGCAACUAUCAAGCUGUCAUUUUUAUACCACUAUUGUCAAUACUAUUUCUUGACUUGCAUAGCAGCAGUCUGAUGAGAAUGAAGUUGAUGACUUCGCAUUAACAAGGACAUUAGUUUUCAACAUACCAAGUUACUUGAAAAUUUGUCAUGACACUUCGGAGAAUUUCCAGUAGACCAUUGCAAAGAAGAUGACACAUUAAACCGCCUUCACUUAUCGCUGCAGAAGCGGUAUUUAUAGGUGUAGAGAGUAUAGCGUUAGCGUUAGAUUAUCCAAAACCCUACCAUCUAUGGCGGUAUUUAUAGGUAUUUAUAGGUGUAGAGAGUAUAGCGUUAGAUUAUCCAAAACCCUACCAUCUGUGGCGGUAUUUAUAGGUGUAGAGAGUAUAGCGGUAUUUAUAGGUGUAGAGAGAGGAGAGACUUGUGUGCUACUCUUUCACAUAAUUAAAUAAUCUGAAACAAAAUCAGAUUAAAACUUUCAAACUACUAUAUUCCAUAAAUAAUCUGAAACAAAAUCAGAUUGUGAAAUUUGCUUUUAAUAUACCUGAAACUAAAAAAGGUAGUUCUAAUUUUUGAUAAUUUUCAUCCAAAAAUUUCAGAAAAUUAGAAAAAUAGAACGGAGCGAUGUGAGAGUCGCCACCUACACACCCCUCGCUUCUCUUUUAUAUAAGUAUAUUGAUGAUUGAUGAUUGAUGAUUGAUAUUGAUAUAUUGAUGAUUGAUGUCGUUGUGUAAAUAAUUUUGAUAAACUCAGCACCCCAUUUUUUUAAAAAGGGGUCAAUUCAUUAUUUUACCAGGAUUUUUUUUUCAUUUUGAUUAGAUUUUUUUUCAUUAUUUUUCCUCAAACACCUAAGAAAGUAAGAAUACAAACCUAAUUAAACUACAACUCGGUGAUUGCAUCCCUUUCUCCACGCAACUACGUAACUCAACGUGUACAAAGCUUAUUAUAAAUUGUAGAGACGUGAAGAACAAUUCUAGCUAGCGUCGUGUUUAGUGAAUUAGUGUAUGAUGAUGCGAAUAAAAAUAUCGAAAGAGAGCAGCCAUAUCGCAGAUGUGCAUGAAUCCAUACUCAUCAAAAUCUUUAUAUUACUUCCCUUGCAAUGCAUAAUGAGGUGCAGAUGUGUCUGCAAAAGCUGGGCCACUUUAAUUUUUCAGCCCUAUUUUAUAGAACAUUACGAUUCAACUAAAUAUUCGUCUCUUAUUCAACUAUUGAUCGAGGAUAGAUCUUCGUUCUUGAAACCCAACAAUUUAUUCUUGGCACAACUUGAUGAAGCUGAAUGCACGGCCAAUUCUCCUGCGGAUUUUCUAAUUUUUAACAAAACACGAAUUUCUUUGAAAUUCUUAUAUGAUUUACCUGAUCCUUGCUCGUAUUUGCUCACAGUUUUUAGCACUUGUAGUGUUACAGGUUGUAUAGCUGCAUAUAGAUGUGGUAAGGAUUUUAUAUCAGUCAUAUCGGGUCACAUAUUUAACCCCGUAACAGGUCAGCACAUUCUUGUGGAUGAUACUGCGAGUAGGCAUCGCUGGUGGGCUUGUGCUUUACUCUAUGUUCCAAAAACUAAACAGUUCAAGUUGUUGUAUUUUCAUCCUUGGGGAUUUAAUAAGGAACAAGUCGAAGUUGAUAUACAAACAAUCGGGACAAAUUCGUGGAGGAGCAUGGGAAAAAUCCCCUUUUUUUACCCAGCACAACGCCAGCUUCCUACUUAUGUAAAUGGAUUAUACCAUUGGAUCGACUCUAGGAAACAUAUAUUAUAUUCCUUCAACGCAGAAGAAGAGGCAUUCAAGCAAAUUCAGACUCCCCCUCGUAUCAAGUCUUUUAUGAGUUCGAACCUUGGACUACUAAAUGGUUGUCUUUGCAUUUGUAUGAAGUCCUAUAUCAUUGAGUUGUGGGUGAUGAGUGAGUAUGGUGAUGAAAAAUCAUGGACUAAGAAGUUUGUUCUGCAUAAUCUUGCAAUUGUUCCAGACAAGAUAAUAGAGCCUGUGAAAUGUCUGGAAAAUGGAGAGAUUGUGAUACUGUGUUUUCCUCGUCAUGCCAUAUGUUACAAUCCAACUACAAAAAGUCGCAAAUAUAUCAGAUUUGGUGAUAAAGAGUGUAUCAGAUACGUACCUUUUUCAUAUAGUCUAAGCCUUAAAAAAUUGCUGCGCCUGCCAUAGUGUACUAAUGUUAGUCAAGCAUCGGUCUUGUGACCGGUGAAGUAUGCCUUUCGGUUAGUAUGAUGAGUUUUAGUAUAUCUUGAGAUGUAUUUCUGAUUUUAUAUCAAUAAAACGAUCCCUCGUUUUAGUCAGAAAAAAUAUAUAUAAUCUUCUCCUAUUACAAUGACAUGGUAAUUUAAUGUUAGUUAAAUUUUGUGAAUUCAAGCUUAGAUGUAUAUAUAUAUAUCAUUUCUUCCAAUUGUAGGAUUGAUAAGCUUCUGCAUAUUCAAAACACUUUCUUGAGAUGAACUGUUUUUUCUUGCAUUCCUAAUUGUGCAACACAUACCUGGCUUACAAGAUGUCAAGUUUAGCCAGACAUAUCUCAUACUUAUGAUAAUCUUUGCAAAAUUAGUGAUAACUUUUACUAGUUUAUUUAAAUGAGAGAAUGUUCUUUGAUCAAUUAAAUCUUACUUUAUUGCUCCAGGAAGUUGCAAACAAAUUUCUUCUUUUUUCCCUUUACAGUCUUUCAUUCAUACAGCAAAUUCAACUCCUUCAUAUCUCUCUCUCUCUGCCUUCUAUGCUAAAUUCAGCAAAGUAUUCUGUCAGAGAGAUUUUUUGAGAGAGACAGAGAGAGAUUGUUGAGAUGGGUAAUUGUUUGAUGAGCUCAAAAUCUCAUGGUGCUGCUGAAAAGUCUGUUUCCAACAUAUAUUCGAAUCAAAGUACCAAUCCAGAUACCACUAGACCUUCCACAUACACUACAACUUCUGGUUAGUCUCUGUGUAUUUCAGCUUAGAAUAUCUGUUUGCCUUAACUGCCUGUAUUAUUACAUGUUUUUUGUUUGCCUUAGCUUCAUUUUUGUCUUGGAUAGUGUAUACAUGUGUUUAGUAAAGAGGUUCUAUGCUAUAAUGUGUGCACAACAUGUUUUCCGAAACAAUAUUCGCGCUUUCAGAACAUGUAUGGUCUCCGAGGUCUCUGAUUUAUGUGGUUUCGAUAAAAGUCAUCUGUCUGGUUAAUUUGGAAUUUUUUUUGCUAAAUUAGUUUUUUCCAAUUGACUUGAACUAAUGCAAAUUAAUUGGUAUUACUUUUAGGGACAUUGAGUAACACAAAUGGUGGAGGCUCCUCUGUCACCAGCAGCAGUGCAGGCCAGCAAAGUCAGAGCCAGUUUUCCAUGGCAGCAAGUUGUGGGACUGGGACUUCUUCUAUGGGAGAGAUUUUGGCUACUCUAAACCUCAAGGUUUAUAGCUUUUCGGAUUUGAAGAAUGCCACUAAAAGUUUUAAAAAAGAUACUGUGUUAGGUGUGGGAGGUUUCGGGACAGUUUACAAGGGUUGGGUGGAUGAGAACACGCUUGAGCCCUGUAAGGCUGGCUCAGGGAUAAUGGUUGCUGUCAAGAAAUUGAACCAUGAAAGCGUGCAGGGAUUUCAAGAAUGGCAGGUAACAUUUGAUGACUAAUUAGAGUUCCCUCUAUGCUUGACAUGAGAAAUUUCUGAAUUAAUGUCUUCCUAGCCUUAGAUGAUGACAUAUUUUGCUUAUAAGUGUUUGGUUUCUUCUUCACUGAAAUGCAGCCAGAAGUAAAGUUUUUAGGAACUCUUUGUCAUCCCAACUUGGUCAAGUUAUUGGGAUACUGUGGGGAGGAUCAAGAGCUCGUACUCGUAUAUGAGUUUAUGCAGAAGGGAAGCUUGGAAAACCAUCUUUUUAGGAGUAAGAACUUGAAGUGAAAUUAAUAACAAGCAAGAAAUAAAAAUUUCUUUGAGUCUUCUUUGGUGAUAAAGUGUUCUAAUGAUGGAUUCUGUUGUUCAGGGAGUUCUGCUACUGAACUACUGUCAUGGGACAAACGGCUAAAAAUAGCCAUUGGAGCUGCACGGGGACUUGAAUUCUUGCAUAGUUCAGAAAAGAAAAUCAUUUACUGAGACUUUAAGGCCUCCAACAUACUGCUUGAUAUGGUGAGAUUCUAAACAAUCCAUUUCUCAGCAUUUGACAUAACAAAUUGGAUCAUGAGAAACCGAUAUUAGAGAAAGAGGGAGGGAAAAAGAAAAUAGCUACUAAAUAAGGAUUACAGUUGCUAUAAUUUAUUCUCUAAAUCUUUGCUUAUACCCAUGUUAAUUCAUCAAUUCAUAACAGUACGAGCUGCAAUCUUUAUCUGGAGAUUCAUAAAAUCUUCUCACCUUAUUUGUUGUGCUCUGACAAAAAUGCACUUGAUAUCUGGAGAUUUAGUCCCCC
rnacentral:lncRNA from 1 species